GACGAACGCUGGCGGCGUGCCUAACACAUGCAAGUCGAACGGAAAGGCCCUGCUUUUGUGGGGUGCUCGAGUGGCGAACGGGUGAGAAACACGUGAGUAUCCCGCGCCUGACUUUGGGAUAACUUCAGGAAACUGGGGAUAAUACAGGACAGGAGAUCCUGCUGCACGGGGGGGGUUGGAAAGAUUCGGAGGUUGGGGAUGGACUCGCGGCUCAUCAGCUUGUUGGUGGGGAAGUGGCUUACCACGGCUUUGACGGGUAGCCGGCCUGGGAGGGUGACCGGCCACAUUGCGACUGCGGUACGGCCCGGACUGCUACGUGAGGCAGCGGUGGAAAAUCUUGCACACUGGGCCGAGGCCUGGUGCAACAACGCCGCGUGCGGGAUGACGGCUUUCGGGUUGGAAACCGCUUUCGCCUGUGACGAUGCGUGUGUGACGGUAACGUGUCAAGAAGCACCGGCUAACUACGUG
rnacentral:rRNA from 1 species